rnacentral:rRNA from 1 species
UUCUUAAGGAGUAAAUUAAAGAAUUUGGCGGUGUYUUAUCCUAAUAGAGGAACUUGUCCUUUUAUCGAUAGUCCACGUUACACCCUACUUUGACUAAUGUUUAUAUACCGUUGUUGUUAGAUUACUUGGYUAAAUGAUUGGUUAGUUUUCUAGCUAAAUUUAUUUUGUGACUUCAAAUCAAGGUGUAGUUUAUGUUGGAGGUUGAGAUGAGUUACUGUGGUAAAGUUAUUGGUGCUAUUGGGAAGCUUUAGCUUAGAUUGGAUUUGUUAGUAAAUUUUUAUUAGUGAGAUGAAUUGAAURGGGGACUGGGACAUGUACAUAUCGCCCGUCACUCCAAUUUUAAUGUUGGAUAAGUCGUAACAAAGUAGAUGUAAGGGAACUUGCCUCUAGAUGC